AUUGAACGCUGGCGGCAGGCUUAACACAUGCAAGUCGAGCGCGCGGCGGACGGGUGAGUAAUGUCUGGGAACCUGCCUGAUGGAGGGGGAUAACUACUGGAAACGGUAGCUAAUACCGCAUACCAUCAGAUGUGCCCAGAUGGGAUUAGCUAGUAGGUUGGGUAAUGGCUCACCUAGGCGACGAUCCCUAGCUGGUCUGAGAGGAUGACCAGGCACACUGGAAUGGAGAAACGGUCCAGACUCCUACGGGAGGAAGGAGUGGGGAAUAUUGCACAAUGCGAGCAGGCCUGAUGCAGCCAUGCCGAGUGGGUGAAGAAGGCCUUCGGGUUGUAAAGCACUUUCAGCGAGGAGGCGUUACUCGCAGAAGAAGCACCGGCUAACUCCGUGCCAGCAGCCGCGGUAAUAC
rnacentral:rRNA from 1 species